rnacentral:misc_RNA from 1 species
AUUUCAGCAGUGGUUAAGGUGAAAGCUUUUAAGGUUGCCAGUUUUCCUUCCAUAAUGUGGCUGGCCAAAAUCCUAGCAUCUCUCUGCGAUCUCUAUAGCAUAUGUCUGUGUUAAUGGAUGUCCAUGUUGAUCUGUAAUAUGUAAGACACAGCACGUAUUGUCACAAAGGGUUGACAUAUGGUGCGAGUGUAUAUUAGCCGAUUAUAAUCUUUUUGUUAUCUUUGUUCUUCCUUAUUUCUCCUCCGCCCACCACACCACCCCACCCACCAAUUGUCAGUCAUUAUGAAUAGACCUGGCCAUGGGCUGGUUUACAACGAGCGCUAGUCAAAUCUAUGUUUGAUUGGAACUAUAAAUGAAUCAGAUCGAAGUUGAAUAGGAAUUGUG